rnacentral:rRNA from 1 species
UACGGGGGGAGCAAGCGUUGUUCGGAUUUACGGGGCGUAAAGGGCGCGUAGGCGGCCAGCACAAGUCAGUUGUGAAAUCUCCGAGCUUAACUCGGAACGGUCAACUGAUACUGUGCGGCUAGAGUGCGGAAGGGGCAACUGGAAUUCUUGGUGUAGCGGUGAAAUGCGUAGAUAUCAAGAGGAACACCUGCGGCGAAGGCGGGUUGCUGGGCCGACACUGACGCUGAGGCGCGAAAGCCAGGGGAGCGAACGGG